UGUCAGUUGAUUUCUUAAUUCAUCAUUGAUUUUAGCUUGACCUUGCAUGAAAGAUUGCAAAGUUUCUUCGAGACUGGAUUUUUGAGGGGGUACAUGUGCAUAAUGAGGGUGCGGAGGUGGAGGAGUUGGGUUAUAUACUUGUUGAGGUUGGUCAUUCCUCCACCUGAAAUUUGGAUGGUUCUUCCAUCCAGGGUUGUAAGUACCCGAAAAAGGAUUAUUGAAAUAUUUUUGAUAGGUAUUCAUAACAUUGGCCUGAUCGUGCAAGACUUCCUUGAAUGCGGGUAUUGUGGGGCAAU
rnacentral:lncRNA from 1 species